AACGAACGCUGGCGGCAUGCCUAACACAUGCAAGUCGAACGAGAUCUUCGGGUCUAGUGGCGCACGGGUGCGUAACGCGUGGGAAUCUGCCCUUUGGUUCGGAAUAACAGUUGGAAACGACUGCUAAUACCGGAUGAUGACGAAAGUCCAAAGAUUUAUCGCCAGAGGAUGAGCCCGCGUAGGAGUAGCUAGUUGGUGUGGUAAAGGCGCACCAAGGCGACGAUCCUUAGAUGGUCUGAGAGGAUGAUCAGCCACACUGGGACUGAGACACGGCCCAGACUCCUACGGGAGGCAGCAGUGGGGAAUAUUGGACAAUGGGCGAAAGCCUGAUCCAGCAAUGCCGCGUGAGUGAUGAAGGCCUUAGGGUUGUAAAGCUCUUUUACCCGGGAUGAUAAUGACAGUACCGGGAGAAUAAGCUCCGGCUAACUCCGUGCCAGCCGCCGCUGUAA
rnacentral:rRNA from 1 species